GUCGCUUUGCCACGUCGCCGCUCUCCUCUCGUGUUAGAGAACGCCUCUCCGAUCAAGGUCGCAGUUGCGGUCCCCAAAUACGGUGAACUUUUCCUUCUCCUUCUUUCUGUUUCCCGAUACCCGUCGGCGGAUCCCCGUCUGCAAUUUGCAGCAAAAUUGAUACGAUCUGGUCCCUAGGUUUUAGGACUUGGAUUCACCAUCAAUAUAUAAGAGGUUUCGAGCAUUAGCAGAUCAGCUUUUCCACAAUGCUGAUUAUCAUAAGCAUGUGAGCAAGGCAGUUGUAAACUUAAACAUUUGAAGAAACAUUAUGAAGGCUGUGUUCCCAUGGAGUCCAAGAAGUACCUGAAAAUAAUGAAAAGAUCACUUGACCCUACAAACAGUUGCAGACCGAGUAAUUUUGAAUUGAACUGUUCAUUCUCUGCUUCCUGAUUUAGAACAGGCUUAUAGGCAUUUAGUCUGCCCAAUAGCUGAUGUGCCGGAUUUUUUUUUGUGCAAUUAUUGUAUGUGUAUAUGUAUAUUCUUCUUCUAAACUAUGCUUGUAAUGUGAAGUGCCUCAAAGUUCUUCUCC